rnacentral:lncRNA from 10 species
CUUACUUCAUCUCACUUAUUUAAAUAUUGAGUAAAUUUCUUUCUUUUCCUUCUGUGCACCUUCUUCACCCCACCCUAGCCAGGUGGGAGAUUUUCUCUUCACUAUCAGUGAAGGCUUCAAGAUUUUCUUUGACGCCUUAUGAAUAAAUAACUCUUGAUGGCCAGAGUCAGCAACAUUAGAAUGUGCAAGUCGCUUAGUUACAUCUUGGAGUUCCGUGGCUUGUUACGCAUUGCUGAACAUUCAAUGCCCAGGAUACAAUACUCUGACCAUGAAAAACAAUCAAGUGAAGCCUAGGACAACUUGAGCAACCAAAAGAAACUGGUUUGCACUUAUUCUGCUCUCUCCAGAAGUUCCUGGUGUGACUGUAUUUAGGAUAUCUCUUGCUCCUCGGCAUUCAAAAGCAUGGAAGACACCCUCACCUUUCUUCUCAGGCAACCCAAAUGCUUCCAAGUGCUCAAACUAAACAUUCAAAUUUAAAGGGGAUUAGACCUGGAAGGAUAAAUAUGACAAUAUUAAAGUGGACACUGAGAAGAGAUGCUACACUUCAGGCAACAAAUCUUGUCAGUGGUGGACCAUGUGUAAGCAUUUUUCCUUUGGGAACAAAGGACAUUAGAUGAGCAAAACUCAAAAUUCUGGGGACUGGAAACAAAAAUUCACUACUGGAUCACAACAGGUUCUUCAUGAUAUUCACAUUAGAAAAGAUAUCUGCGACUGGUAUAUUUGGAAAAUGUUAUACAUGAUAACAAUGAAGAAAGAAAUACAGCAGACUAGAUAUUUAGUGAUCAUGUAAUCAAAUGUAAACUGCUACUUUGUUUCUUUCUAAAGCUUUCUUUAGGUUCUAAUUUCAAAUUACAUUUUAAAAAGUGUUGAACUAAUGACACUAUUUUUAUCAUUUUGGAUCUCUUAAAUAUAUAAUUUUCAUUAUAAGUGCCUGCUAUUUCUUAAAAUAUAUGGUACAGUGUAAGCACUUUGAGUACAUGGACUUUAAUUUCUUUUGUCAUUCUAUAUCUAAAAUUUAGACAGAUACCUGACAAGUAUUUGAAAUUAAUGUACUGUUAUUGAAUGAAUGCAUGGAUAAAGGAAGAUUAAUUUAUAGACACAGUUAACAGUUUUGCCAAUACAUUGACUUAUAUUAGAAUAAUAAAUUUUAUACAAUAGUUUCAUUUAACUGCCUUCAUCUGUUUAAGGACAUGUGUAUUUAAUGCAUGAAUAUUCCGUUUUGUAAGGCGUUUAUGUAGAUAGAAAUGCAAACUUUUAUACAUUGGCAAAGUGCCAAUAUCAAUAUCAACAAGUAUUUAUCAGGCAUCUACAAUGUGUUCCUUACUGAGUCAGCUCUUUGUGAUGCCUGCCAGACAAUCCUAGGGGAGAAGAAAUAAAAACUCAGUGUCUUGGUAAGUAGCUAUGUGCUACCUAAACAAAAACGUUUCUCUACUCUUUGUAAACCUGCUUUUUCUUCAUUCAACAUUUAUUGUCUACCAUGUGUACCACUGAUACUGAUUUUUUAGUAAUAUUUUAUUUUAUCUAUUCUAAUUUAUAGCCUUUUACCACAGAAACAGGUCAAGCAUAAUAAAUGCAUGAAAACCCAGAAUUGCUAUCUAAAUCAAUUUUUCCAUUUAUUUAUUUAUGUAUUGGAUUUUGUUUAUUGGAAUAAUAAUUAGUAAGCUACUAAUUAUAUGAAUUAUACUAAGCUACUCAUUAUAUGACUACUACUACAUAUCAGGUAUUGUUUCAGGCACCAGAAAUACAUCAAUAAAGUAAAGAGAUAGGGACCUUGCUGUGGAUAUAUAUUUUUUAUUCUAACUGAGGAUAUAGAUAUUAAACAAUAACCACAGCAAAUAGAAAAAUUAUAAAAAAUCACAGAAGAAGAUAAAUGCUUUAGAGAAAAGAAAAAUUCAGAACUUCUGCCUUUUUUAAAAGCAGGCUAAAUACUGCUGAAGGAGCCCUUCCACAGCUAGAGAACAGCGAGCACAUUUGGAUAACAUAUUUGUUUAAAAACAGGCUGGAAAGCAUAGGAGAAUUAAAAAGAGCAGUGAAAAAUUAUGGGGCUAAAAUUCAAGGAAGAAAGUCUAGAAAAGGGACCCACUACUUAGGUCAUUCUUUUUCCCAAGAGACUCUAAAGGGUAGACAAGAAGUUGAAAACCUAAGCCAAUUUUUUGGCAGCAAGGGGAUGGAAAUAGGAAUCCAGGGCCUUUCAAAGAGAAGCUGUCUUAAGGCUGCAAAGUGUUAUCUCUAAGAGUAACAACAAGAGGUGAAGCCUAACUUCAGAUACCUAUACUUGUUAAAGGUGAUGCUGGAUUGCUAAUGUGUCUGGAUCACUGGAAAUUACAAGAAAUUUUCUCUGUGAAAAAACAUAAACCCAUCAAAAAUCUCAAAUUUCUUCUACAAUAUUUAAUAUAUAAUUUCUUUGCCUUGGUGAAAAAUAAUCAGGCAUACCAGGUUACAAGUCAACAUGAUAGAAAAAUUAAGUAAAAUAAAAACUGAUUCAAAGACAAUAUAGAACAUAGACUUUAAAAUGACUACUAAUUAUGUUUUUUUUAAAUUAAAUAUUUGGCAGAGUCUUAAAAUUCUGAAAUUCUUCAACUGUAGUACCCUACAACUAAUAUUAAUAACUGAAGGAAUAGGUUUAAUAGCAUAAUAUUACAGCUAAUGAGAGAAUUAGUGAAUUGAAGCAUAAAUCAGAAAAUAGUUCAAAAUAAAGCAUAAAAAUUUAAUAAAAAACAUGAAAGAAAUACAAAGGAUAGACUGAAAAGUUCUAACUGAAGUUUGAUUCCCAGAAAAAGUGCAUAAAAGAACGAUACAGAAACAAGACGAAAGCCAUAAUCACUGAGAUUUUUUCAGAAAUUAUAAAAUAAAUCAAAGAUCAGAUUUACUCUUCACCAAGGAGGAACAAUGCAAAGAAAUGAACAGCUAGACACAACACAUCAAAACUGCUGAAAUAUAAAGAAAAAUAGAAUAUCCUAAGGAAAUUAGAAAAAAAGAGAAAUGUUACUAUUGAAGAACAAUUUAGAUAGCUGACUUCUCAAAACAAAAGGGAAAAGUUAUAAGCCAAAACAAUGAGACAGUAUCUUCAGUAAACGGAACUAACAUUGGCUAAACAAGCUUUCUAUAAUUAAUGAAAGAUUCUGUAAGAAUAAAGGCAAAUAAAGGUAAUCACAAAACAGGAAAUUAUUUAUUAGUAGACACACUAAGGAAAGGCGUAGAUUUUCUUAAGGAUAAAGGAAAAAGCCAGAUGAAAGCUCAGACACAAAGAAAAAAAAUCAAUACUAACGAUUUAAGUCUGAAUGAAUAUUAAUAAAAACUAAUGAACAAUUUUAUUAGACAUACGUAUUAUUAAAGUAGAAGGAAAUAGCCUAUGAUUACAAUUAUAUAGGACAUGGUGAAGUUAAAUCAUUCUGAUUACUAACACUCUCCAGGAAGUGAUAAAAUAGAAAUUUACCAUAGACUUUGUUGAGUCAGGAAUACAUGCUGCCAUACUUGGGGUAACCAAUUAAAUAGUGUAUAGUUAUUACACAGAAAGAAAUAGAAAAUGAAGUUUUUAAAAAACACAUAUUUAAAAAAUUAUAAAAAGAUAAAGGAAUACAGAUACAAUGAGAAAAGAAGAAAGCAAUAGGAAGAUUAUGGACUUAAAACCAAAUAUAUCAGGAUUUAUGUUGAAUAAACUUGGAUUAUAUGCUAAAAAUAAAACAUAAGUGUGGAUUGACUGAAUAAAAAUGUAGGUAAGAACUUGUUCCUUAUAAAAACACAUUUAAAUACGAAUAUAUAAAAGGUGACAAGUAAAAGGAUGAAAAACAUCGGCAAAAAAUAUUCACCAAAUAAAGGCACAUAUAGCUAUAAUAGUAUCAGAUGAAAUAGAUCUUGAUGCCAAAAAUUUACUAGACAGAAAGAGGAGCACCUAAAAAUGAGUUUAUCACUAAGAUAAUCAGUCUAAGUUUUUAUGUCUCAAUGUACCUUCAACAACAUUUCACUUUUAAGUAUAUUUGCCAUAGAUAUUUUCUGAGAUGGUCUUUUUCUGCUCUUACUUUACCAAGUUUUAUUUUAUUUUAUUUUUCAGAAUAGAUGCUGAGGUGUUAAGCUAUUUCAAUUUGCAGAAGAUUGACAUUUUAUAAUUCUCUGACCAUAAUUAAGAUAAAAAUCAAUAAUAGAAAAGUGACAAAAAUAAGACAAAAUAUUCUAAACAGGAUAAAUAACACGUGACUCAAGAUAAAAAUUAUAAUAGACAUUAACAAAUAUAUUGAGUUACCCAAUAAUUAAAAUACUAUAUGCCAAGAUUUAUGGGAAAUAGUUAAAGCUAUGUCAGAAAUUUGUAACUUACACUGCAUAGGAAAAAAAUGGGAAACUAACGAAGUUAAGCAUCAAUCUGAUAAAGUUAGAAACAAAAGUACAUUAAAGAAAUUAGAAGAAAAAGACAGUAAAAUAAGAACAUAAAUAUGAAAUUUCAAAACAAAUAUUUAGUGAAGAUUAACAAAAUGUGAUUUGUAAGAUUAAUAAAAUAUAUAAACACCUGACAAGAUUGAUAAAACAUCAAAAGUUAUGGAACAAAUAAUUAGCAUUAUAACUCAAAAAGGAAGCAUCCUGGCAGGUAAUAGACAUUAAAGGUUACAGGAGGAUUUUAUAAACUACUUUAUGCUGAUAAAUAUAAGUUAGAUAAAAUGGUUAAAUUAGUAUUAAAAUGUCAUCAAUAUAUAAUCUAAAUAGUCCUACAUUUGCUAAACUAAUUAAAAUUUAACUCAAUUCUUAAUUAAAGAAACAAAAAUUUAUAAAAUAACCUGUAAGUCCAUUUGGCAUAAUGAAUGAUUUUUAGCGAACAUUUAAGAAAUAAAUAAUGCCAAAAAUAUACAAAUUCUUACUGACACUAAAAAAAAAAGAGCAAUAUUAUACUUCCCAAAAUGUUUAUGAGGCCAGCAUAAUUCUAUCAAAAACAACUAAGAUAUUAAAAUAAUAAAAAAUUAAAAGAUAGUAUUAUUAAUACAUGCAUGCAUAUGCUAAUUUCAUUAAGUGCUAUCAAUCAAUGUGGCUAAUCAGUUGACCAUAUUAACAGAAUAUAGGAUAUAAAUAUAUAAUCAUUUGAAUAGAUCUCAUCAUCUCAAUCUCCAUUUAUAAUUACAACAAAAAUAAACUGUAAAGAGUAGAAGGUUAUUUCAUAAAACAUGUCCAGCAAAUAUAGAAUAGUAGUAAUGAAGGUGGCUAGAAAAGGUAAAAUAAGGGAUCUCUUUUUGUUGAAUGUGUUUGUUUUUUUAAAGUAUAACAUACAAAAACAUAUAAAGGUCAUAAAUGUACCGUUUAAUAAUUUUUAACAAAGUAAACAUUUCUAUGGAACUAGAACCCAUAUAGAGAACUAGAACUCUGCCAGUCACCUUCCAAUUGCUUGCCCUUGGAAGGUGAAUCAGUAUCUGAAUUUUAACGAUAUACAAUAUAUUUGUCUAUUUUUAAACUUUAUAUAAAUGAUAUGAUGCAGUGUGUUUCUAAUUUAUGUUACUCAACAUUAUGUUUGAAAAUAUUAUGUAUGCUACUGCCUAUAGUUGAAGUCUGUUCAUUUUAUUUUAAUGGCUUUAUAUUAUCCUUUUGUUUGUGAAUAGAGUACUACACUUAACAGUCCUAUUGCUAGUGGGCAUUGGAGUUGCUUUCAAUUUGGGGUUAUUGUCAAGAAUUCUGCUAUGAUUAUAGAUGUAAAUCCUUUUGGGUGAAUACAUGUACACAUUUUUAUCAUGUAUAUUCUAAGAGUAAAUUUCUGGAUCAUAAUGUAUGCAUGUUUCAAACUUCAGUAAAUGUUGUCAAAUGCUUUCUAAAA